GAUGAACGCUAGCUACAGGCUUAACACAUGCAAGUCGAGGGGCAGCAUGUCGGUUGCUUGCAACCGAUGAUGGCGACCGGCGCACGGGUGAGUAACGCGUAUCCAACCUACCCUUGUCCAUCGGAUAACCCGUCGAAAGGCGGCCUAACACGAUAUGCGGUUCACCGCAGGCAUCUAAGGUGAACGAAAUGUGAAGGAGAAGGAUGGGGAUGCGUCUGAUUAGCUUGUUGGCGGGGUAACGGCCCACCAAGGCGACGAUCAGUAGGGGUUCUGAGAGGAAGGUCCCCCACAUUGGAACUGAGACACGGUCCAAACUCCUACGGGAGGCAGCAGUGAGGAAUAUUGGUCAAUGGACGGGAGUCUGAACCAGCCAAGUAGCGUGCAGGAUGACGGCCCUAUGGGUUGUAAACUGCUUUUAUAGGGGGAUAAAGUGUGCCACGUGUGGCAUAUUGCAGGUACCCUAUGAAUAAGGACCGGCUAAUUCCGUGCCAGCAGCCGCGGUAAUACGGAAGGUCCGGGCGUUAUCCGGAUUUAUUGGGUUUAAAGGGAGCGUAGGCCGUCUUAUAAGCGUGUUGUGAAAUGUCGGGGCUCAACCUGGGCAUUGCAGCGCGAACUGUGAGACUUGAGUGCGCAUGAAGUAGGCGGAAUUCGUCGUGUAGCGGUGAAAUGCUUACAUAUCACGAAGAACUCCGAUUGCGAANGCAGCUCACUGGACUGCAACUGACACUGAUGCUCGAAAGUGUGGGUAUCAAACAGG
rnacentral:rRNA from 1 species